rnacentral:rRNA from 1 species
CACUGCAUGCUUUUACAGUAUGGAAAUUGGUGAUUUAUAAUAACUUGGCAAAUCGCAAAGUGAAAACAGGCGAUAAAUCAUUCAAGUUUCUGACCUAUCAGCUUUCGACGGUAUGGUAUUGGCUUACCGUGGCAGUGACGGUUAACGGGGGAUUAGGGUUCGAUUCCGGAGAGGGAGCCUGAGAAACGGCUACCACAUCUAAGGAAGGCAGCAGGCGCGCAAAUUACCCAAUUCUAACAGUUUGAGAGAGGUAGUAACAAGAAAUAACAAUACAAGGCAAUUAAAAUGCUUUGUAAUUGGAAUGAUAGAAAUUUAAACCCUUUUUAAAGUAUCAAUUGGAGGGCAAGUCUGGUGCCAGCAGCCGCGGUAAUUCCAGCUCCAAUAGCGUAUAUUAAAAUUGUUGCAGUUAAAAAGCUCGUAGUUGAAGUUCUGCUAAAAGUAACCGGUCUGCUUUUAAUAAAAGUGGUAUCUUGGUGUGUAUUUAGCAAUGAUGUCCUUUGAAGUGUUUUUUACUUUAUUGUAAUAAAGCAUAUUCAGGACUUUUACUUUGAGAAAAUUAGAGUGUUUCUAGCAGGCCGACGCUUUGAAUACUGCAGCA